rnacentral:rRNA from 1 species
ACAACUAGGAUGUUGGCUUAGAAGCAGCCAUCAUUUAAAGAGUGCGUAAUAGCUCACUAGUCGAGUGACACUGCGCCGAAAAUGUACCGGGGCUAAACAUAUUACCGAAGCUGUGGAUUGUCCUUUGGACAAUGGUAGGAGAGCGUUCUAAGGGCGUUGAAGCAUGAUCGUAAGGACAUGUGGAGCGCUUAGAAGUGAGAAUGCCGGUGUGAGUAGCGAAAGACGGGUGAGAAUCCCGUCCACCGAUUGACUAAGGUUUCCAGAGGAAGGCUCGUCCGCUCUGGGUUAGUCGGGUCCUAAGCUGAGGCCGACAGGCGUAGGCGAUGGAUAACAGGUUGAUAUUCCUGUACCACCUAUAAUCGUUUUAAUCGAUGGGGGGACGCAGUAGGAUAGGCGAAGCGUGCGAUUGGAUUGCACGUCUAAGCAGUAAGGCUGAGUAUUAGGCAAAUCCGGUACUCGUUAAGGCUGAGCUGUGAUGGGGAGAAGACAUUGUGUCUUCGAGUCGUUGAUUUCACACUGCCGAGAAAAGCCUCUAGAUAGAAAAUAGGUGCCCGUACCGCAAACCGACACAGGUAGUCAAGAUGAGAAUUCUAAGGUGAGCGAGCGAACUCUCGUUAAGGAACUCGGCAAAAUGACCCCGUAACUUCGGGAGAAGGGGUGCUCUUUAGGGUUAACGCCCAGAAGAGCCGCAGUGAAUAGGCCCAAGCGACUGUUUAUCAAAAACACAGGUCUCUGCUAAACCGUAAGGUGAUGUAUAGGGGCUGACGCCUGCCCGGUGCUGGAAGGUUAAGAGGAGUGGUUAGCUUCUGCGAAGCUACGAAUCGAAGCCCCAGUAAACGGCGGCCGUAACUAUAACGGUCCUAAGGUAGCGAAAUUCCUUGUCGGGUAAGUUCCGACCCGCACGAAAGGCGUAACGAUUUGGGCACUGUCUCAACGAGAGACUCGGUGAAAUCAUAGUACCUGUGAAGAUGCAGGUUACCCGCGACAGGACGGAAAGACCCCGUGGAGCUUUACUGUAGCCUGAUAUUGAAAUUCGGCACAGCUUGUACAGGAUAGGUAGGAGCCUUUGAAACGUGAGCGCUAGCUUACGUGGAGGCGCUGGUGGGAUACUACCCUAGCUGUGUUGGCUUUCUAACCCGCACCACUUAUCGUGGUGGGAGACAGUGUCAGGCGGGCAGUUUGACUGGGGCGGUCGCCUCCUAAAAGGUAACGGAGGCGCUCAAAGGUUCCCUCAGAAUGGUUGGAAAUCAUUCAUAGAGUGUAAAGGCAUAAGGGAGCUUGACUGCGAGACCUACAAGUCGAGCAGGGUCGAAAGACGGACUUAGUGAUCCGGUGGUUCCGCAUGGAAGGGCCAUCGCUCAACGGAUAAAAGCUACCCCGGGGAUAACAGGCUUAUCUCCCCCAAGAGUUCACAUCGACGGGGAGGUUUGGCACCUCGAUGUCGGCUCAUCGCAUCCUGGGGCUGUAGUCGGUCCCAAGGGUUGGGCUGUUCGCCCAUUAAAGCGGUACGCGAGCUGGGUUCAGAACGUCGUGAGACAGUUCGGUCCCUAUCCGUCGUGGGCGUAGGAAAUUUGAGAGGAGCUGUCCUUAGUACGAGAGGACCGGGAUGGACAUACCUCUGGUGUACCAGUUGUCGUGCCAACGGCAUAGC